rnacentral:tRNA from 1 species
GGGAGUGUAGCUCAAUGGAUGAGAGCACCGAGCUUCUAACUCGGGUGAUGUGGGUUCGAAUCCUACCACUCCUGCCA